CGUUCCCGGACCUUGUACACACCGCCCGUCAAGCCAUGGAAGCCGGGUGUACCUGAAGGUGGUGGCCUAACCGCAAGGAGGGAGCCGUCGAAGGUGGGGCCCGUGAUUGGGGUG
rnacentral:rRNA from 1 species